rnacentral:rRNA from 1 species
GGACUACAAGGGUAUCUAAUCCUGUUCGCUCCCCACGCUUUCGCUCCUCAGCGUCAGUUACUGCCCAGAGACCCGCCUUCGCCACCGGUGUUCCUCCUGAUAUCUGCGCAUUCCACCGCUACACCAGGAAUUCCAGUCUCCCCUGCAGUACUCCAGUCUGCCCGUAUCGCCCGCACGCCCCCAGUUAAGCCAGGGAAUUUCACGAACAACGCGACAAACCACCUACGAGCUCUUUACGCCCAGUAAUUCCGGACAACGCUCGCACCCUACGUAUUACCGCGGCUGCUGGCAC